CCCCCGGUGGCUAGAGAGGACAUGACAACGAUUCAAGGGGAGGGGAGCAAGAGGAGCCACCUUCCUGUGCUUCCCGCCCCCUCCCCUUUGGUGGAGGAUUCGGGAGUCCGCCUCCGAGAGGGUGCGUUGCAAAGGCUGCCCGCAGGGUCCGGGAAGGGAAGAGAUGCUUUUCUUCUGCUGAUGCCCAAGGAUGGACCUAGCUACUUUGAUCCAGGGCUGAAGGUGCAACCGGCUGCUUCCCCAGCAUGAGAAGAAUGUCUUAGGAUGGAUGACCUGGCUGUAUGGCCGAGUUGGGAAGGAAAAUGGAGGGACAGGCGCCCUUGACGCAUCAAUUGGAGGAGGGAUCAGAGGCCGGAGGAGUAGAUUCUCACCCUGUUCACGCUGGCGCUGAUGGGGAGUUCCUGACUGAGGAAGGCCUGGUGCAAGUUAAGGAAGAGCCAGAAGAAGGAUCCCAGCAGCAUUGGGAAUCGCAAUGGCAGGAUUACCUGAAGAAGGUGGAACUGGGCCACCAGAGAAUGAGGGGCUCCCAGUGGCCUCAGCUGUGGCCAGCGGCGAGGGAAGAAGAGAGCAAGGGAUUUCAGGCCUCCCGGAAGAGAUUAGGAGGUGCUGCUCCCUGUUUGAGAGGAGAAGACGUGGCCCAUUCCCCGAUGGACGUUGACCAGGAGACCUUGGGAAAUCUGGAUCGUUCCAUGAAGGAAGAGAGUCUAGGUGCAGAGGGAGCUGAUUCGGAGGGAGACCAAGAAGACUUCAACCAGAUCUGGUGCCCAAAGGCGAUCCAGUCGCCUGAGGUAUUC